rnacentral:misc_RNA from 1 species
AAACAAAGACAACCAAUCCAAAAAUAUAGACCAAAUAAGGCCCUAAAAAGCACAUGCUCAUAUUAAUUCAAAUAAGAUGGAAAUCUAUCUUACAAAAAAUAAUCUAAACUUUCAUGAUAAUAAACAUCUAUAAGCAUAAUAAUCUGUUCAAAGACAAAAUUAACCAUAAUGAACAAGAAGUUUUCCUUUUUUUGAUAAAAUA